AUACGGAGGGUCCAAGCGCUAUCCGGAUUCAUUGGGUUUAAAGGGUACGUAGGCGGAUAGAUAAGUUAGUGGUGAAAUCCCGAAGCUCAACUUCGGAACUGCCAUUAAAACUGUCUAUCUUGAAUUUGGUUGAAGUGGGCGGAAUAUGACAUGUAGCGGUGAAAUGCAUAGAUAUGUCAUGGAACACCGAUAGUGAAGACAGCUCACUAAGCCAAUAUUGACGCUGAGGUACGAAAGCAUGGGUAGCGAACAGGAUUAGAAACCCUAGUAGUCC
rnacentral:rRNA from 1 species